GACGAGGACACCUGGUUUGGCCUCUGGUCAAUACUAGGCUGUCCGAGUCUUUCUUUUGGGGAAGCUUUGUGCCCUUAACUGGGUGCAAAGGGGAACCAAGACGAUUACCUUGAGGAAAAUAGAGUGUUCAAAGCAGGCUUUUGCUUGAAUACGUUAGCAUGGAAUAAUAAGAUAGGACUUUGGUUCUAUUUUGUUGGUUUUCAGGACCAUUGUC
rnacentral:rRNA from 1 species